GACGAACGCUGGCGGCGUGCUUAACACAUGCAAGUCGAACGGAAAGGCCCUGCUUUUGUGGGGUGGUCGAGUGGCGAACGGGUGAGUAACACGUGGGUAACCUGUCCUUGACUUUGGGAGAACUUCAGGAAACUGGGGCUAAUACCGGCUAGGAGCUCCUGCUGCAUGGUGGGGGUUGGAAAGUUUCGGCGGUUGGGGUUGGACUCGCGGCUUAUCAGCUUGUUGGUUGGGUAGUGGCUUACCAAGGCUUUGACGGGUAGCCGGCCUGAGAGGGUGACCGGCCACAUUGGGCCGGAGCUACGGCCCAGACCCCUACGGGAGGCAGCAGUGGGGAAUAUUGCACAAUGGGCGGAAGCCUGAUGCAGCCACGCCGCGUGCGGGAUGAUGGCCUUCGGGUUGUAAACCGAUUUCGCCUGUGACGAAGCGUGAGUGACGGUAAUGGGUAAAGAAGCACCGGCUAACUACGUG
rnacentral:rRNA from 1 species